rnacentral:tRNA from 1 species
UUAAUUGAAACCAAAGUAGAGGUAUAUCACUGUUAAUGAUAUUAAUGAGACUAAUCUCCAAUUAAA